AACGCGAAGAACCUUACCAAGGCUUGACAUAUACGAGAACGCUGCAGAAAUGUAGAACUUUGGACACGUACACAGGUGGUGCAUGGCUGGAGCGUGGUGAGAUGUUGGGUUAAGCCGCAGCGAGCGCAACCCCUGCUAUGUUGCCAGCAUAGUUGGGGACACGCCAGACUGCCGGUGACAAACCGGAGGAAGGUGGGGAUGACGAAGAAUGCCCCUUAUGCAGGGCUACACACGUGCUACAUUGGCCGGUACAGAGGGCUGCGAUACCGCGAGGUGGAGCGAACCAAAAAGCCGGUUGGUGGAUUGGAGGCUGAAACGCCCAUGAAGGUGGAGUUGCUAGUAACCGGAAGCAAUGCCGGGGUGAAUACGUCCGGGUUGUACACACCG
rnacentral:rRNA from 1 species